CAGGUGGGAACGACGGGGAGUGUGUCUUGGAUGACUCGAAAGAAUCCCCGGAAGGGAGUCGGUAGGAAAGGGAGAGGAGUUCUCACAGAACGUGCAUGGAGGGGAACGGAAAGUAGACACCGAUCGGACACGGGGGUGCCGUCGGCUGGGAGAGGAUUCGGUGGAAA
rnacentral:ribozyme from 1 species